rnacentral:rRNA from 1 species
CCCAACGGUGGAUAUCUUGGCUCUCGCAUCGAUGACGAACGCAGCAAACCGCGAUAGGUAGUGUGACAUGCGGAUACCGUGAAUCAUUAACUUUUCGAACGCAACCGGCGCGUCUUUUUUUUUAUAAUA